GUUUCGUUGGUGCAGUGGUAGCAUGCCCUCUUAGGGUUUUCAUCUUGAAAGCUUUGGGGGUGGUCCUCGGUUCAAUCCCGGGACGAGACC
rnacentral:tRNA from 1 species